CCUGCCUCAUCCAGGACCCGGAUGAAGCCCCAGGCAGCCCUCUGAGCCCUCAGCACCAGCCACACCAGCGGGAGGAGCAGGAGCGACUCCAAAACCAGCACCAACCAGCAGUACCAUGCCCAUGACGCUGGGUUACUGGGACAUCCGCGGGCUGGCUCACGCCGUCCGCCUGCUCCUGGAAUACACGGACACCAGCUAUGAGGAAAAGAUAUACUCCAUGGGGGACGCUCCCGACUAUGACCGAAGCCAGUGGCUGAGUGAGAAAUUCAAGUUGGGCCUGGACUUCCCC